rnacentral:rRNA from 1 species
AAUAGAUACCCAGGUAGUCCAUGCCGUAAACGUUGGGCACUAGGUGUGGGGCUCAUUCCACGAGUUCCGUGCCGCAGCAAACGCAUUAAGUGCCCCGCCUGGGGAGUACGGCCGCAAGGCUAAAACUCAAAGGAAUUGACGGGGGCCCGCACAAGCGGCGGAGCAUGCGGAUUAAUUCGAUGCAACGCGAAGAACCUUACCAAGGCUUGACAUGCACGGGAAGCCACCAGAGAUGGUGGUCUCUUUGGACACUCGUGCACAGGUGGUGCAUGGUUGUCGUCAGCUCGUGUCGUGAGAUGUUGGGUUAAGUCCCGCAACGAGCGCAACCCUCGUCCCAUGUUGCCAGCGGGUUAUGCCGGGGACUCAUGGGAGACUGCCGGGGUCAACUCGGAGGAAGGUGGGGAUGACGUCAAAUCAUCAUGCCCCUUAUGUCUUGGGCUUCACGCAUGCUACAAUGGCCGGUACAAAGGGCUGCGAUGCCGUAAGGUGGAGCGAAUCCCAAAAAGCCGGUCUCAGUUCGGAUUGGGGUC